ensembl:lincRNA
UGUCUCACUGGUAGCUCCCUGGGAGAGAAGGUGCAGAGAUUUCUGAAGGGGGCGCAGGGGUCCUCCUGGAUGGGCUUCCUCGGUGACUUGGUGGUAAAGAAUCCGCCUGCCAGUGCAGGAGACCCACGAAACUUGGGUUCAGUGCCUUGGCCAGAAAGAUUCCCCAGAGAAGGGAAUGGGAGGACGGCGACUGUUAGCCUGUGAACGAAGGCGAGAGUGAGCAGCCUCAUGCUCCUGACCAAGCUUCUCCACUGGAGCGGGGCAGGGGUGACGCGGACUUGCUGGAAGUCAGCGGCUGCAGGUCGCAGCAGGUCCAGUCUGUCCACCUUUGAGCCUGGCGGCGGCAUGUCCUUCCCCACCCUCUUGAGGACCCCCACUGGCUGAACCCCCUGGAAACUGCGUGGAAUGUUCGGGGGAUGAGGCCGAGGAGGCUUGUCUUUGCCUUCCGGAACCCCGCUGCUGUCCUGAGGUCUCCACCCAAGGUGGGAACCCCGGAGAGCAGCCCAGCAGCCAUGCACCGCCAGACCCGAGGGCAGCACAGAGCCUGGGAGAGGCAUGGCCUUGGGAGUUCCUCUGAAGAAGAACGUGUGGGCUUAUCGCGUCACGUGUUGAAAAGCAGUAGCGGCGUGUGCUUCUGCCCCUGGUGUGGCUCAGCAGGGUUGGGGCAGCGGCUCUGCGCGAUACAGAAGCUUGAACAGAGGCCACUCGGAGCUCAGAACCAGAGAUGACAGCCGGCAACAGGGUCAGGGCUGGGGAGGGGGCAGGAAGGCGCCCGAAGGCAGUGGUGUCCGCCUGCAGUGGCCGCAGCCCUGCAGGCACCCCAGGGUGUGGUCCUGAAGUCCUCCAGCUGGGAGGUGCAGGAUCUUCUUUGCAGGCCCACCCCGCAGGCCUGAGCUGUCUCUGGAUUAUACCCCCGCCCGAGGGGAGAAUGUCAGUGAGGUUUGCAAAUUAGUCUGGAGUGUCUCACAGCUGGAACCUUGAGACCCCUGCUUUCUGCACAGGUUGUUACAGUGAAUGGAAAGAUCUCCUGUCUUGGUGAAGGAGCAUGUCCCCAUGUUGGCACAACUAUAAAGAAUAAAUGGAUCUUGAGUAAACUGCCUUGACUUUCUCUGUCUUAUCAGCUGGGGCCCCACCAGGAGCUGAGAGUGUGAGGGGUCAGGGUCCUGGGCGCUCUUCCUGGACAGUGACAGCUUUUUGAAAUGGAUGGAACCCGAAGUUCCCCUGUAAUUUCGUGUGCCCCUGCUUACAUCCCCAUCCACGUGUGGUCCAGGUCAGGGCUGGUCACAGCUGAGAACCAUGGGCUCCAGUCACCCUUGCCCUUAGUCCCAGUCAACCCCAAGCAGCCUAUUGCCAGGAUGUGGGUCCAGGGGUGGCUGCCCCCUCCCCUUCCCCAGUCCCUGCAGUAGACUCUCCAGGCUGAGUGGGGUGGGGGUACUCAGUGGGGAAAAGUGGGAAAGCUGGCUUGAGAGAGGUCAUCACAUCCUGUUCCAUCACUUCAUGGCAAAUGGGAAACAAUGACACUCUUCUUGAGCUCCAAAAUUGCCGGGGACAGGGAUGACGGCCAUGAAAUUAAGAGACGCUCCUCGGAAGAAAAGCUGCGACAAACUUGGGAGUAUUGAAAAGCAAAGGAAUCGCUUUGCUGAUAAAGGUCCACAUAAUCAAGGCUAUGGUUUUCCCGGCAGACUGUAUGGAUGUGAGCUGGACUGCAAAGAAGGCUGUGCUUUCAAACCAGUCAAUCCUAAACGGAAAGCAGCCCUGAAUAUUCACUGGAAGGAGUGAAGCUGAAGCUCCAAUCAAGCUUCAGCCACUUGAUUCGAAGAGCCAACUCAUGAGAAAAGACCCUGAUGCUGGGAAAGAUCGAAGGCGGGAGGAGAAGGGGACGACAGAGCAAACUCAGGGGGACGGUGAAGGGCAGGGAAGCCCGGCGCGCUGCAUGCAGUCCCCAAGGCCGCAGAGUUGAACACGACUUGGUGACUGAACAGUAGUUCACAGAAAAGCUUUAUUUACAGAGUUCUCCAAAGUAACAAAUCCUUGGCCUGGCCAGGUCCCAGGGCCAGCCCUUGGUGCUUGGGCUCUGAGUCCUUCCCUCUCUCCUGCCAGCUCCACUGUCCUGUAAAAGAAAAAAGAAAAAGGGGGGAAAGGAAAGGGGGAGGGAGGGGGGGGGGGGGGCGGAGGGGCGGGGGGGGGGGGGGGGGCCUGGUGGGGGGGGAGGCGGAGAGAGGCCUGGGGCGGGGCCCGAGGCCCUCAGGUGUACUUGGUGUUGGAGAUCUCUUUCCAGAGCAGGGUCUUGAGGUGGCUGAGCACCAGCGAGUGGUGGGCUUCCACCUGGCUGGCCAGCCCGCUCGGCGGCCCCGAAGGAAGCGGCGCACGGCGGCCUCGGGCGCCACCUGCUGCAGGUCGGCCAUCCUGAAGUCGUACUUGGCGGUGUAGCCCACGUUGGCCAGCGUGGUCUCACACAUGUAGAAGGUCCCGUAGGCGCCGUGGAAGAGCUCCUCCACGAACUCCAGCAGGCCGAUGGCAGCUUUGGCGCGCCAGGGCCAGGCGGGCCCCAGCCACUGCUGCAGGGCCCCGCGCAGGGCGGGGGGC